rnacentral:piRNA from 1 species
UGGCAAAGCCCAACUUAAAUGGCAACUC